UGGGGAAUAUUGGACAAUGGGCGAAAGCCUGAUCCAGCCAUGCCGCGUGUGUGAAGAAGGUCUUCGGAUUGUAAAGCACUUUAAGUUGGGAGGAAGGGCAUUAACCUAAUACGUUAGUGUUUUGACGUUACCGACAGAAUAAGCACCGGCUAACUCUGUGCCAGCAGCCGCGGUAAUACAGAGGGUGCAAGCGUUAAUCGGAAUUACUGGGCGUAAAGCGCGGGUAGGUGGUUUGUUAAGUUGGAUGUGAAAUCCCCGGGCUCAACCUGGGAACUGCAUUCAAAACUGACUGACUAGAGUAUGGUAGAGGGUGGUGGAAUUUCCUGUGUAGCGGUGAAAUGCGUAGAUAUAGGAAGGAACACCAGUGGCGAAGGCGACCACCUGGACUAAUACUGACACUGAGGUGCGAAAGCGUGGGGAGCAAACA
rnacentral:rRNA from 1 species